UACAGAGGGUGCAAGCGUUGUUCGGAAUUAUUGGGCGUAAAGGGCGCGUAGGCGGUGCGGUAAGUCUGUAGUGAAAUCUCUGGGCUCAACUCAGAGUCUGCUGCAGAAACUGCCGUGCUUGAGUGUGGGAGAGGUGAGUGGAAUUCCCGGUGUAGCGGUGAAAUGCGCAGAUAUCGGGAGGAACACCGGUGGCGAAGGCGGCUCGCUGGACCGGUUCUGACGCUGAUGCGCGAAAGCGUGGGGAGCAAACGGG
rnacentral:rRNA from 1 species